rnacentral:rRNA from 1 species
AGUGAAAUGGGAUAAGUCCAGCACCGAAGCCGGCGAACGAAAGUUUGUCGUGUAAUGUGGUGUUUGGGAAGGCUCUGUCCGAGUCCAACGUCGGUUCAAGUCUCCUGGAAAGGAGUCCCAUGGAGGGUGACAGGCCCGUGCGGCCGAACGUUGUGUACGCGGACGAAUCCUCCUUCGAGUCGGGUUGCUCGCUAAUGCAGCCCUAAGUAGGUGGUAAGCUCCAUCUAAGGCUAAAUAUAACCACGAGUCCGAUAGUUGACAAGUACAGUGAUGGAAAGUUGAAAAGUACUCUGAAGAGAGAGUCAAAUAGCCCGUGAAGCUGCCGAUAUGGGAUUAAGCGCACGUGUGACGUGUGUCGUCGGACAAAUAGGCGCCCGUCUACUAUUGGACGUCACAUUGUAUCCAAUUGUGUGUACGCAUACAGUUGGGCAAUAUGUCGUUGAUUGUAUAAUAAGCGGUGCGCCUCACUUUAUUCGACAUUGACAGGUCGGGGCAUCGUUGUACGGUCUCAUUGCCGGCUGUUAUCUGUUGAGCCGUUCUAGGCUGGUUUUCAUUUUCGGAUGAUGCCAGUGCUCUACCGAUUUUGCACGUUCGCGUGACGGUAGCUAAAUUGGUCUUCAGUGCAAUGCAGCCGUUGGCGGAUAACUGUACGACGGCCAGCGCAAAACAAUUCGCAAGAAUUGGCUCGGCCUUUGCGUCGUCACGUGCGGCCCGUCUUGAAACACGGACCAAGGAGUCUAACAUGUGAGCGAGCGAUUGAGAUUUGUCUAAUCUUAUACGCGCAAUGAAAGUGAAGUGUCGUCUGACGGCAUAAGCGGUGAUCUGUUAUUCAUUCGUGAUGGCAGCGCAACCGCGGGCCGCGCUAUUGGCUGGCUUGCUUUUCGGAGCACUGCUGAGGCGCGGACCUAGAGCCCACACGUUGGGACCCGAAAGAUGGUGAACUAUGCCUGGCCAGGAUGAAGCCAGAGGAAACUCUGGUGGAGGUCCGCCGCGAUUCUGACGUGCAAAUCGAUCGUCUGAGCUGGGUAUAGGGGCGAAAGACCAAUCGAACCAUCUAGUAGCUGGUUCCGCCCGAAGUUUCCCUCAGGAUAGCUGGCACUCGUGUGAUACGGAGUUUCAUCCGGUAAAGCGAAUGAUCAGAGGAGCUGGGCUCCUUGCGAGCUCAACCUAUUCUCAAACUUUCAAUGGGUGAGACGUCGCGCUGGCUUCACUGCAGCGCUGACUCUGAAUCCGAGUGCCCAGUGGGCCACUUUUGGUAAGCAGAACUGGCGAUGCGGGAUGAACCGCAUGUCGAGUUAAGGUGCCUAAGCGGACGCAAAUCAGAUACCAUGAAAGGUGUUGAUUGCUCACGACAGCAGGACGGUGGCCAUGGAAGUCGGCACCCGCUAAGGAGUGUGUAACAACUCACCUGCCGAAGCAAUCAGCCCUGAAAAUGGAUGGCGCUAAAGCGUUCCACCGAUACUCGACCGUCGUCGGCAUGCGACAUGUACAUGCUAUAUGUCUGAAGCCACGACGAGUAGGGCGGCGCGGUGGUGAGCGUCGAAGGCGUAGCCGUGAGGCUAGCUGGAGCCGCCACCGGUGCAGAUCUUGGUGGUAGUAGCAAAUACACAAGCAAGAUCCUUGUGGACCGAUGUGGAGAAGGGUUCCGCGCGAACAGUACUUGGACGUGGGUGAGUCGGCCCUAAGCCAACGGGUAAUUCCCGCAUCCUGUGUGAUCAUCAUGUUAUUUUUUGGAACAAGUACACGGGUUGAU